CUAACACGUCACAGCCGGGCAGAGUGUGCUGCCUGGCCUGCUGGAGCAUCCUCCCUGUGCCCCACCGAGCCUCUGCCUGCUGCAACGGGGAAAAUGGAUGGAGGCCGCGGAAAGCAAUUGCUGUUAGGAGCGAGAGAGUUAUGGCAUCCAAUCAGGCAACAAGGGAAUAGCACAUUGCAGAGCCGUGGCUGGUGCUGGCUUCCUGUUAACCGUAAUAAUAACUAUAUCCCGGAGCCAUCCUGCAGUUCGUUUGGGCCGAGACACAAUUACUGUGCUGUGUGCAACAAGCACCACAUCUCUUGCCUGUUGGCCUGGCGAUGCACGCCGCUCACCAGCUGCUGGAAACGCUCCUGUGAACUUCAGCAGCCUUGGUGCCGGCCUCUGCACGGCACAGCAGGAGCCCUUGGGAGUCAUAAGGCUGACACACCCCUAGCUUAAAUUUGGACAAGCCUUUUAAUACCCAGCUGAAGAGAUUACUGGAAUGACCUACUUGUUUACAUGUGGCGAAUCCAUGAAAUGUGCAGAAGGCUUUGCUCAUUAAGGGAAGAGGGCUGCAGGGUGGAGCCGCCCCAGCAGCACCCGAGCUGCAGCCACGCGCGUGGAUCUGCGGAUCGCAGGCAGUGCCUCCGAGGGGCUGGGUUCUUGCACGAGGCUGGAAAUCCCCCACGCCGCCCUUAAUUCUCACCGAUGGGAUGCUUUGUGCUGUGGGUAGCUAACCCAGGCCUCUGAAGCCACUGGUGGUUUUGUAAGCAGCUGGGGCUCCUCCGCAAAGCCCGUGCUAUGCCGCAGGACGGGCCUGGGACCCACGGGCAGGGCUGGGGCGUGCUCUGCCUUUGGAGCCCUGGUGUAACCUGCACCCCACCCGCAGCCCCGGGAUGCUGGAGUUCAGGAUGGCUGAAUUUCUGCCUGUUGCAUGGCUCCUUGGGAGAGGGAAAAACAUAACCUGGUGCAAAGGGAGCUUGCCCCAUCUUCUGCUAGACUGGGAUCUGAUGAAGGGGUCGGAGCGUUAUAACGAGACAAAUAUCACAACUCUGGUUUCCUAUGCAGUGAUCAGUGUCUCCCACCAUACAGCAUGCCAGGUCCUGGAAAGGGCAGUUGGGGCUCAGAUGGUCAGAGCAGGUUGCCCUGGCAUGUGGCAGGAGACACUCUGCCGUUCGUAUCCACAGCAUGUCCUCUGAGAGCAGAGCCAGAGGAGUGGUUUCCUUCUCUGUUCACCAUUUGCUGGGUGCUCCAAUGCACACCAUCUGUGUCUAUCGCACAAUCCUCCAUCCUCUCAUGGACUUGUGACUAAGAAGGACGGAGAUAUGCAGCUUGGAUCCAGCUAUAAAGGUGGAGGAACCUCCAUCCUCAGCUCUCUGCGUGUGUCUCAGAGCCAGCCAGCACGGGGCAGCAGAAGGUGCGGGCGAGCCCCAGAGGCUGGUCCUGGGGUCAUGGCAAUGCAGGUACAGCCACCAAAUCCUUGGGCCGGCGACAAGGAGGGGAAGUGUGUUGUUAUAAAUCGACAGCCCAGCCUUAAUAGCUUUAGGCUACAGGCGUGUAGAUUAAAUUUCAGCCCUAUAUUUCACGGGAGGCACGCAGUGGCAUGUCAAGGCGCUGUAACUGCACAGCCCCCUGACGGCGUGCCGGAGGUCUGGCGAGUGGACUAACUAGAGCAAUGAAAUAAAGCGUAAUAAAACGCAGGCUGAAGACCAGGAGAGUUUUCUCAUGGUGAGACCUGGGCUGUAAAACAGCAUCCUGGGGAACUGAUGGAAGCUUCUCCACGAUUGGGUUAUUUAAAAAAAAGAUUGGAUGAAUGCUAGACGGUGUAUAUUAGCCUAGUGUUGUGAAAAUAGCAGCAAUUUUGUCAGGAAAAUGAUGGAAGAGGGGAACAUGCUGCUCCAUUUUCAUCAGCUUCACCCCGAAUGCUAUUUCAUUUCCUUUGGAGAUUUAGGAGGAAGCUUGGUCAUCCAUUUAUUGUUGGGGAGGGAGAGAGCAAAUGCAGCCGAUGGGCUCCCACCAGUGACUGCUCAGUGUGAGGGUGAACACCCUGCUGGAUGCUGCUCGGCGGCACCUUCCUUUUUGGCCGCCCAGUCUUCUCCAUGCAUUACUGCACCAAAGAGCAGGGCUGUUUUUGGCAGCCACGUGCAGCGGACAACAGGGGCAACAGCCCAGUGGUUAGUGGUUCCAAGCCUUGUUCCCUUGGGAAGACUUCCCUGGUCCCGUCAGCCUCCUCUUUCCUUCUCAGAUCGUCCCAGCUUGGGUUUGCCAGCCCGUGCACGGUGCUGCCAGGUGGUAUCAGCUCAGCCAGCAGGAUGGGUUUGGCUGGCAAGCAAAGGCAGAGCUCCUAGCACAGCCUGCUGGAAACAAAGCGCCUUUCUCUCCAGCAAUAGCCUCCAUCAGCCCCCUGGGUAAUGCCGUCUCUUUUGGAGCAAUGCCUUUUCCCCACCGCACAACCAGCGGGAGCAUCGCUGGCCCCUGUGGUCCCCAGGGGUGCCUGCGGGACCGAGGCAGGGGGAGGAGGGUGCCCCUUUACCCCAGAAACAUGUCUGGAUGUGCGUGCUGGGCAGAGCUCAGUCCUUGGUGUAAAAUGAGGAGCUGGUAAUAAAUAUUCAGCUUGUUUAGAAUUGCAAAUACCAGGGAAAGGAAAGCAGUAAACCAAAGAGGCCGCAAUCAGCAUCCUGGCGAACAGUCAGGAAUGGAGCUGCAGCGGCGGAUGCAGGAGGGGGUGAGCAGCUGGCCAGCCCAGCACUCGGACCAAAUUCAGGUCUGAGAGAGCAAAAACUCGAAAGGAAGCCGCUUAAGAUAGGCCCUUCUUAAUGAGAGACAAACACGCAAGAAAAUAUUGCCUGCUAACAGUAUUCAUAAGCUGCUCCCAAGAUGUUUUGAUUAAACUGCUGUUGUCUUUCUAGUG